GCGGCCUAUCAGCUUGUUGGUGGGGUAGUGGCCUACCAAGGCGACGACGGGUAGCCGGCCUGAGAGGGCGACCGGCCACACUGGGACUGAGACACGGCCCAGACUCCUACGGGAGGCAGCAGUGGGGAAUAUUGCGCAAUGGGCGAAAGCCUGACGCAGCGACGCCGCGUGAGGGAUGACGGCCUUCGGGUUGUAAACCUCUUUCAGCAGGGACGAAGCGCGAGUGACGGUACCUGCAGAAGAAGCACCGGCUAACUACGUGCCAGCAGCCGCGGUAAUACGUAGGGUGCGAGCGUUGUCCGGAAUUAUUGGGCGUAAAGAGCUCGUAGGCGGUUUGUCGCGUCGACUGUGAAAACCUACAGCUUAACUGUGGGCUUGCAGUCGAUACGGGCAGACUUGAGUUCGGUAGGGGAGACUGGAAUUCCUGGUGUAGCGGUGAAAUGCGCAGAUAUCAGGAGGAACACCGGUGGCGAAGGCGGGUCUCUGGGCCGAUACUGACGCUGAGGAGCGAAAGCGUGGGGAGCGAACAGGAUUAGAUACCCUGGUAGUCCACGCCGUAAACGGUGGGAACUAGGUGUGGGGGGCUUCCACGUCCUCCGUGCCGUAGCUAACGCAUUAAGUUCCCCGCCUGGGGAGUACGG
rnacentral:rRNA from 1 species